rnacentral:rRNA from 1 species
AGAGUUUGAUCAUGGCUCAGGAUGAACGCUAGCGGGAGGCUUAACACAUGCAAGUCGAGGGGUAACAGGUUGGAACUUCGGUUCUGAUGCUGACGACCGGCGAACGGGUGAGUAACGCGUAUGCAACCUGCCUUUAACAGGGGGAUAGCUUUCGGAAACGGAAAUUAAUACCCCAUAACGCUGCACUGUGGCAUCACAGAGCAGUUAAAACUACGGUGGUAAAAGAUGGGCAUGCGUAAUAUUAGCUAGUUGGUAAGGUAAUGGCUUACCAAGGCUGCGAUAUUUAGGGGACCUGAGAGGGUGAUCCCCCACACUGGUACUGAGACACGGACCAGACUCCUACGGGAGGCAGCAGUGAGGAAUAUUGGUCAAUGGACGGAAGUCUGAACCAGCCAUCCCGCGUGCAGGAAGACGGCCCUAUGGGUUGUAAACUGCUUUUCUGAAGGAAGAAUAAUCCCGACGUGUCGGGAGAUGCCGGUACUUCAGGAAUAAGCAUCGGCUAACUCCGUGCCAGCAGCCGCGGUAAUACGGAGGAUGCAAGCGUUAUCCGGAUUCAUUGGGUUUAAAGGGUGCGUAGGCGGAUAAAUAAGUCAGUGGUGAAAUCUUUCGGCUCAACCGGGAAACUGCCAUUGAUACUGUUUAUCUUGAGUUCGGCAGAGGUAGGCGGAAUGUGUAAUGUAGCGGUGAAAUGCUUAGAUAUUACACAGAACACCAAUUGCGUAGGCAGCUUACUAUACCGACACUGACGCUGAGGCACGAAAGCGUGGGUAGCGAACAGGAUUAGAUACCCUGGUAGUCCACGCCGUAAACUAUGAUUACUCGUUGUUGGCGAUACAUUGUCAGCGACCAAGCGAAAGCGAUAAGUAAUCCACCUGGGGAGUACGCUCGCAAGAGUGAAACUCAAAGGAAUUGACGGGGGCCCGCACAAGCGGUGGAACAUGUGGUUUAAUUCGAUGAUACGCGAGGAACCUUACCUGGGCUUAAAUGUAGAGUGCAUUUAUGGGAAACCAUAAUUCCCUUCGGGGCUCUUUACAAGGUGCUGCAUGGUUGUCGUCAGCUCGUGCCGUGAGGUGUCGGGUUAAGUCCCAUAACGAGCGCAACCCUUAUCACUAGUUGCCAUCGGGUCAAGCCGGGGACUCUAGUGAAACUGCCACCGUAAGGUGAGAGGAAGGUGGGGAUGACGUCAAAUCAGCACGGCCCUUAUGUCCAGGGCUACACACGUGUUACAAUGGUCGGUACAGAGGGCAGCUACCUGGUGACAGGAUGCCAAUCUCGAAAGCCGGUCCAAGUUCGGAUCGAAGUCUGCAACUCGACUUCGUGAAGCUGGAAUCGCUAGUAAUCGCGCAUCAGCCAUGGCGCGGUGAAUACGUUCCCGGGCCUUGUACACACCGCCCGUCAAGCCAUGGAAGCUGGGGGUGCCUGAAGUUCGUAACCGUAAGGAGCGACCUAGGGUAAAACUAGUGACUGGGGCUAAGUCGUAACAAGGUA